CGCGCGCGGUUGCAUCAGCCGCCGGCUGCGCGCCUGCGCACUCGUGCCCCGCGGUCUCCUAGGAGACGCCGCUCCCCCGGCGCCGGAGCGGCGGGCGAGGCGGGGCGUGCCCGGAAGCCCGCCGGGCGCCCCGGGCCCUUGAGUGGUCCCGCGAGCUCGACCGGAUGCGCCUGCCGCACUCUUGCGUGCCUCGGGGUUCCAGUGCUGCCGAGCGCUAAGAAAAGCAUCGACCUGAGGUUUUAGUAUAAUAAGAGUUGGACAGCGUCUGGCGUUGAGUCAGGUGUCUGCGACCGAGGGAGCGCUCGGGGACAGCAGAAAGAUCCUUCGGGAGCAGAAGGCGGCCAGCGCUCCUCCGCUCCGUGGGACUGGUCAAGGAACAGCCAACUUCCUUCUAAGGAACUAAGAGGGCCUCAAUUUGUAUGGUUUAUCCCUUGGAAAUAGCUCAUUUUCAAUCCUAAGAACUUGAGAAAAAUGUGUAAAUAACAGGAGUCAGUUUGAUAAUAGAAAAGAGAUCCAAGAAUGCAAAUUAACUACUCAAAGCCUCAGUUUCUUUGGCUGUAAGGGACAUCGGACUGGUUUCCUGCCUUUACUCAACGCUGUUCCUCAGCUGAGAAACCCUCACCUCCUGUUACAUACCUACUCAUGCCUCAAGGGCCAACUCAAAAGUCAACUCCUUGAAGUCGUUGCCAACCCCCCGAGUCAAGAUUGUAUCAUUACACUGUAUUAGAG
rnacentral:lncRNA from 1 species